UCCCAAGGGUUGAGCUGUUCGCUCAUUAAAGUGGCACGCGAGCUGGGUUCAGAACGUCGUGAGACAGUUCGGUCCCUAUCUGUUGUGGGCGUUAGAAGUUUGAGAGGGCCUGACUCUAGUACGAGAGGACCGAGUCGGACGGACCGCUAGUGUACCUGUUGUGGCGCCAGCUGCAGCGCAGGGUAGCUAUGUCCGGUUAAGAUAAGCGCUGAAAGCAUCUAAGCACGAAACUUGCCUCAAGAUAAGACUUCUUUAUAAGGGUCGUCAAAGACUAUGACGUUGAUAGGUUGCAGGUGUAAAGACAGCAAUGUCAAAGCUGAGCAAUACUAAUUACCCGUAAACUUUUUUCCU
rnacentral:rRNA from 1 species